UACGUAGGGGGCUAGCGUUGUCCGGAAUCAUUGGGCGUAAAGCGCGUGUAGGCGGCCCGGUAAGUCCGCUGUGAAAGUCGGGGGCUCAACCCUCGGAUGCCGGUGGAUACUGUCGGGCUCGAGUGCGGAAGAGGCGAGUGGAAUUCCUGGUGUAGCGGUGAAAUGCGCAGAUAUCAGGAGGAACACCAAUUGCGAAGGCAGCUCGCUGGGACGUUACUGACGCUGAGACGCGAAAGCGUGGGGGAGCAAACAGG
rnacentral:rRNA from 1 species